rnacentral:rRNA from 1 species
AAUAGAUACCCUGGUAGUCCACGCCGUAAACGUUGGGCGCUAGAUGUGGGGACCAUUCCACGGUUUCCGCGUCGUAGCUAACGCAUUAAGCGCCCCGCCUGGGGAGUACGGCCGCAAGGCUAAAACUCAAAGGAAUUGACGGGGGCCCGCACAAGCGGCGGAGCAUGCGGAUUAAUUCGAUGCAACGCGAAGAACCUUACCAAGGCUUGACAUAUGCGAGAACGCUCUAGAAAUAGAGAACUCUUUGGACACUCGUAUACAGGUGGUGCAUGGUUGUCGUCAGCUCGCGUCGUGAGAUGUUGGGUUAAGUCCCGCAACGAGCGCAACCCUCGUCGCAUGUUGCCAGCACGUAAUGGUGGGAACUCAUGUGAGACUGCCGGGGUCAACUCGGAGGAAGGUGGGGAUGACGUCAAAUCAUCAUGCCCCUUAUGUCUUGGGCUUCACGCAUGCUACAAUGGCCGGUACAAAGGGCUGCGAAACCGCAAGGUGGAGCGAAUCCCAAAAAGCCGGUCUCAGUUCGGA